GCAAACUUGGUCAUUUAGAGGAAGUAAAAGUCGUAACAAGGUCUUCGUAGGUGAACCUGCGGAGGGAUCAUUACCGAGUUAGGGUCCUCAUCGGGCCCGACCUCCCAACCCAUUGUUUAUGAUACCUAGUGUUGCUUCGGUAGGCCUGGUCUAUCAGUUAUAGACCUGCCGGGGGGCCGUAAGACGCCCGCCGGAGAGUGCCUACCGACAGCCUCAACUCCAAAAUUCUUUAACCAAACGUGUCUUUGUCUGAGUAACGUCUUUUAAAAUAAAGCAAAACUUUCAACAACGGAUCUCUUGGUUCUGGCAUCGAUGAAGAACGCAGC
rnacentral:misc_RNA from 1 species